rnacentral:rRNA from 1 species
ACAUGCCAAAAACAUAGCGUUAAUGCAUCAAAUCCCAUUAGAACUCCACAGUUAAGUGCACUCAGGCUAGAGUAGUACUGGGAUGGGUGAUUGUCCAGGAAGUCCUAAUGUUUUACAUGCC